rnacentral:rRNA from 1 species
CGCGGCCUAUCAGCUUGUUGGUGAGGUGACGGCUCACCAAGACGAUGACGGGUAGCCGGCCUGAGAGGGCGACCGGCCACACUGGGACUGAGACACGGCCCAGACUCCUACGGGAGGCAGCAGUGGGGAAUAUUGCACAAUGGGCGAAAGCCUGAUGCAGCGACGCCGCGUGGGGGAUGACGGCCUUCGGGUUGUAAACCCCUUUCAGUAGGGAAGAAGCGAGAGUGACGGUACCUGCAGAAGAAGCGCCGGCUAACUACGUGCCAGCAGCCGCGGUAAUACGUAGGGCGCAAGCGUUGUCCGGAAUUAUUGGGCGUAAAGAGCUUGUAGGUGGCUUGUCGCGUCUGCCGUGAAAACCCGAGGCUCAACCUCGGGCGUGCGGUGGGUACGGGCAGGCUAGAGUGUGGUAGGGGAGACUGGAACUCCUGGUGUAGCGGUGAAAUGCGCAGAUAUCAGGAAGAACACCGAUGGCGAAGGCAGGUCUCUGGGCCAUUACUGACACUGAGAAGCGAAAGCGUGGGGAGCAAACAGGCUUAGAUACCCUGGUAGUCCACGCCGUAAACGGUGGGCACUAGGUGUGGGACUCAUUCCACGAGUUCCGUGCCGUAGCUAACGCAUUAAGUGCCCCGCCUGGGGAGUACGG